rnacentral:rRNA from 1 species
AUUGAACGCUGGCGGAAUGCUUUACACAUGCAAGUCGAACGGCAGCACGGGUGCUUGCACCUGGUGGCGAGUGGCGAACGGGUGAGUAAUACAUCGGAACGUACCCAGUUAUGGGGGAUAACUAACCGAAAGGUUAGCUAAUACCGCAUACGCCCUGAGGGGGAAAGCGGGGGACCGUAAGGCCUCGCGUAAUUGGAGCGGACGAUGUCUGAUUAGCUAGUUGGUGAGGUAAAGGCUCACCAAGGCGACGAUCAGUAGCAGGGCUGAGAGGAUGACCUGCCACCCUGUAACUGAGACACGGUCCAGACUCCUACGGGAGGCAGCAGUGGGGAAUUUUGGACAAUGGGCGACAGCGUGAUCCAGCCAUUCCGCGUGAGUGAAGAAGGCCUUCGGGUUGUAAAGCUCUUUCGGCAGGGAAGAAACGCUCUGGGAUAAUACUCCGGGGUAGUGACGGUACCUGAAGAAGAAGCACCGGCUAACUACGUGCCAGCAGCCGCCGUAA